UUUAAAAUAUGGCCUGCCCGAUGAGGGAUUUUGAAUGGCCACAGUAUUUUGACUGUGUUAAGGUAGCAUAAUAAUUAGUUUUUUAAUUAAGAGCUAGUAUGAAUGGUUGGACGAGAGAAAAUCUGUCUCUAUUUAAUUUUAUUAGAAUUUUAUUUUUGAGUUAAAAAGCUCAAAUAUUUUUAAAAGACGAGAAGACCCUAUAGAGUUUAAUAUUAUAAUAAGUGUAAAUUUAUAGGAUUUUGUUUGAGCAUUUAUUUUAAUAUUUUAUUGGGGUGAUGAAAAAAUUAAUGUAACUUUUUUUAUAUUUUACCAUUAAUAUAUGAGUAAGUGAUCCAUAUUUUAUGAUUAUAAGAUUAAAUUACCUUAGGGAUAACAGCGUAAUCUUAUUUAAGAGUUCUUAUUGAAAAUAAGGGUUGCGACCUCGAUGUUGGAUUAAAAUUAACUUUUGGUGUAGCAGCUAAAAUGUUAGGUCUGUUCGACCUUUAAAAUUUUACAUGAUCUGAGUUUAAACCGGUGUGAGCCAGGUUGGUUUCUAUCUUUAAAAUAUCUAAAUAUUUUAGUACGAAAGGAUUAAGUAUUUGUAAAAUUUAUUGUAUUGUGAAUGAUAAUG
rnacentral:rRNA from 1 species